GAUUUAUCGGGAUAUUGUACACUGAAUACAUAGGUGUAUGAAGAAGACCUGGUGAAGUGAAACAUCUCAGUAACCAGAGGAAAAGAAAACAAUAACAGACCACUAAUUUUUUCACGGAUUGUCACAAGCAAUUGUGCUGAUUCGUGUUAAAGAUUGGUGGUUGUGAUUCCCUUAGUAGUGGCGAGCGAACGGGGAACAGCCUAAACCUAUAUGAUGUUGGGUUAUCAAUUGAUUGAUCUUAUGAUUUUUCUUGAGAUAAUCCUUAAAGGACAGGCCGUUGUCAUAUAGGUGUUGUAAGAUAUAAUGUCGGCUACCUGCGAUGCCGGUCAUGUCUAUAAAUGUAUAAUCGAAGACUCCUGGAACGGAGCAUCAAAGAAGGUGAUAAUCCUGUAGAUGAAAUACAUAUAUAUACAUGAUGUUAUAUUCUUGAGUAUGGCGGAACACGAGAAAUUCCGUCUGAAUUUGCCGCGACUAUGCGGUAAGGCUAAAUACUGACAGUGAUCGAUAGUGAACCAGUACCGUGAGGGAAAGGUGAAAAGCAGCCCGGAGAGGGCGGUGAAAUAGAUCCUGAAACCGUGUGCUUACAAUGAGUCAGAGUCCAACCCCGAUUUCGGUCGGGGCGGAUGAUGGCGUUCCUAUUGAAGAAUGAGCCUGCGAGUUAUUUCAUGUGGCAAGCUUAAGGACUUUUGGUCUGUAGGCGUAGCGAAAGCGAGUCUUAACGGGCGAUUAAGUCGCAUGAAAUAGACCCGAAACUGGGUGAGCAAUCCAUGGCCAGGUUGAACUCCGAUGAUAAAUCGGAGGGAGGACCGAACCCACGCGCCGUGCAACACGCGGGGAUGAGCUGUGGAUAGCGGAGAAAUUCCAAUCGAACUCAGUAAUAGCUGGUUCUCCUCGAAAUAGCUUUAGGGCUAGCUGUAUGUGUUCCUAUCGGUGGUAGAGCACUGGAUGGGGUCGGGGUCCCUCGGGAUACCCACCUCAAUCAAACUCCGAAUGCCGGUAAUUAAAAGCAUGCAAGUCAGACCAUGGGGGCUAAGCUCCAUAGGUCAAAAGGGAAACAGCCCAGAUCGUCAAUUAAGGUCCCAAAAUCACUGCUAAGUGUAAAAGGUGGUGUCAAUUCUCAAACAACCAGGAUGUUGGCUUAGAAGCAGUCAUCAUUUAAAGAAAGCGUAAUAGCUCACUGGUCAAGAGUUUUCGCGCCGAAAAUGUACCGGGGCUAAGCAGUGUACCGAAAUUACGAAUUUCUAUAGCAAUAUAGAAGUGGUAGAGGAGCAUUCCUAUCUGCUGUGAAGUCGGAUCCGUGAGGACCGGUGGAGCGAUGGGAAGAGAAAAUGCAGGCACAAGUAGCACUAAUUCCGAUGAAAAUUCGGAACACCGAAAACCUAAGGGUUCCAGGGCAACGAGAAUCGUCUCUGGGUUAGUCGGUCCUAAGGCGAGGCCUUCGCAAGGGGGCGUAGUCGAUGGAUGAGCAGGUUAAUAUUCCUGCACUUAUUAUAGUUUGUAUAUAUGUGCGGAUCUCAACGGUAUGAGCGUAUUUGCUAAUGUACGUCCCGCAAGGGAGAGUCCAACGCUUCGGCAGAGGACAAUUCGUGUUCGAGAGGUUCCUAGAAAAGCAUAUAUGCGCUCGGCUAUAAUAAACCGUACCGCAAACCGACACAGGUAGGUAGGUCGAGAAGACCAAGGUGUACGAGAGAAACAUGGUUAAGGAACUCGGCAAAACAGCGGCCGUAACUUCGGGAUAAGGCCUCCCCGCCCUCGGGCGGGGUCAACAAAAGACUCCAUGCGACUGUUUACCAAAAACACAGCUCCCUGCUAACUCGUAAGAGGAUGUAUAGGGGGCGAUGCCUGGCCAGUGUCAGNNNNNNNNNNNNNNNNNNNNNNNNNNNNNNNNNNNNNNNNNCGCCGGCGGUAACUAUAACCGUCCUAAGGUAGCGAAAUUCCUUGUCGGGUGAGUUCCGACCCGCACGAAUGGCAUAACGGUGUGGAGACUGUCUUGACCAUGUACUCGGCGAAAAUGCAAGAGUCGUGAAGAUGCGACUUACCCGCAGCUAGACGAAAAGACCCCAUGAAGCUUUACUACAAUUUGACAUUGGUACAUUGCUCCAUAUGUUCAGCAUAGGUGGGAGCCUAGGCGCCAGUGAGAUACCACCCUUGUGUUGUGGUGUAUCUAAUCUCUUACCCUGAAUCGGGUAGGGGAGACAGUGUCUGAUGGGUAGUUUAACUGGGGCGGUUGCCUCCCAAAUCAUAACGGAGGCGUUUACAAAGGUUGGCUUAAUCCGGAUGGAAAUCGGAUUGGACGUGCAAACGCAGAAGCCAGCUUUACUGCAAGGGUUACCACCCGAGCAGUCACGAAAGUGGAAGUUAGUGAUCCGACCGUUCAACAUAGGAUGGCGGAAGCUCAACGGAUAAAAGUUACUCUGGGGAUAACAGGCUGAUCACGCCCAAGCGUCCACAGCGACGGCGUGGUUUGGCACCUUAACAUAUCGGGGUGCACAAACAGCAAUGUUUUUCCUAAUUCUUUUCGUUUAAAAUAUAAAUUUAGAUAGAGACAAAAUAAAAUCGGCUAUAACGGUGAACCCGUCAGCAAUGAAAAGUUGCCCGGCAACACCGUGGGAAGUCCGCCUUUGGCGGACCCCGUAACGACUGACCCGAAAGGGGAGAUCUA
rnacentral:rRNA from 1 species